AUGGGCUCCUCUGGAAAACGGGAAACGUCCAGAAAAUCGCGGAAUCGGGAAAUGCCGGUGCCUCCCGAGGCUUCGGCAUCGCUUCGGCGCUGGAGGGAGAGGCAGAGUCCCCAAGUGCCACCUGUCACCUCCGGGAGUGGCAGCUCAGCUUCCCCGAGGGACGGAGGGACGGGAGUUGCAGAGGAGCCCGUCAGGAUCAUCCCGCUGCGGGCUCCUGGCAGGGACUGCAAGAGCAGGAGGGGAGGAAAUGUUACACGGGGAGACGCUUUUCCCAAAGGAAAAGGCAGUGAGAGGGAUAGGGGAUGGGAUCAGUGGGGUGGGAUGGAAUGGGAUGGGAUCAAUGGGGUGGGAUGGGAUGGGAUGAGUGGGAUGAGAUCGAUGGGGUGGGAUGAGAUGGGAUGGGAUCAAUGGAUGGGAUGGGAGCAAUGGGAUGGGAUCAGUGGGAUGGGAUCAAUGGGGCGGGAUGGGAUCGAUGGGAUGGGAGCAAUGAGAUGGGAUCAGUGGGAUGGGAUCAAUGGGAUGGGACAGGAUAGGAUCGGAUGGGAUGGGAUGGGAUGGGAUGGGCAGCACUCACCUCGCCCUCAUCCCGGCUCGCUCACAGCCAUCCCCCCAGGAUUUCGCCUUUCCGCAGCUCGGAGUCGGGCUGGCCCCUCUGAAAUCCCUUCUCCAGACAGCUGCAGCUGCUGUAAAUCCCACCCGGGGCUCCCGAGCUGUAACACAGGAGGGAAGGUGAGGGAAGGUGAGCAGCCAGGCUCCCCCUCCCCAGCUCCCAGCCCCGCAGAGGUGCGGCCCUUCCCGGCUCUCAGGGGCUGCAUUACAAAAGUCUGGGUCCGGAGCGAGUCGCAGUUUCCCACAGUCGCCAGCCAAUCCGAGCGUGCCCGGGACAAUGGGAAAGCAUCCAUUACAGCAUGGCAAAUUGCCUGUGAAUUGCCUGGGGAUAAUACCCCGCUCCCAAAGGAGCAGGCUGCCUUGAAAUGAAGCACAGAAGACUGAUCCCAGGAAGAGAUAAUGCUCUGCGCCCCAAAGAGAGGUUGAAAAGGGAAAGAUGCAGAAUUAGAGGGACUAAACCCUUUCAUUGACAUUAAACCGUGCUUAGAUGAAUACAGUACCAGAUAAUUUUCAGGCUAAAAUCGAGGGGAGAGUCCUUCAAACAGUUCGCUUGAAAUAUUUUCCUCUGUAUUAUUUAAAGUCCCUCUGUAAGUUAUACCCAGAGCUCUUCCUUGCUUUUGUUUGGGUAAUCUGGGCUUUCCUACUGCAGCCCGUGGCAUGUCGUGAUUGUGAUGUCUUUCCCAAACACGUCCUGUUCGAUUUCAUGCUGCUUUGUAAAUCCUCACUGUGUCUGAGUCUCCACCUAAAUAUAUUUCCCGUUUACAGACAUCUGAGAGGGAGUGAAAAGUCAGCUCCUGGCUAUUAUUUUGCUAUAACAAAAUUUCCUGACUAUAAUUUUGCUGAUUAUCCCAUUUGCAGGUUGUCCCACAGGUGGGAGGCCCUCCUGUGACUCUGCCCAGUCCUGGGGUUUCUCACCUCUGUAGCGAAGGAGGAAGGACCAGGCAGGAUCCUGGGUUGGAGCUGCCUUGGAGCAAUAUUUAUUUAUUUUUUCCAGGCUGUUUUAAGCUGCCAGCUCAGGUCUGCUGCCCCCUUCCAGCACAGCCCAGUACAAACCCAGUUCAGGACCUGUCAUGCAGCUUUUGACCACCUGUUUCUUACAACAUUGAUGAAAACCCUGCUUAUUUCUUGUGUCUGCCUUUCAAAAUCAGACAGGAAACCUCUGAUUUAAUAAUGAGAGCAUCCCUCCCCUGGCCAAACCUGUGUCCUGGAAGCCUGGAUAGCAAAGUGUCCCAUCACACAGAGGGCUGGUGAAUAAAAGGAAAAAUUCUGCUAAAGGUGAUCCUGGA
rnacentral:lncRNA from 1 species